rnacentral:rRNA from 1 species
GAUGAACGCUAGCGGCAGGCCUAAUACAUGCAAGUCGAGGGGUAGUGGUUGCUUGCAGCCAUGAGACCGGCGCACGGGUGCGUAACGCGUAUGCAACCUACCUUCAUCUGGGGGAUAGCCCGGAGAAAUCCGGAUUAAUACCGCAUAAAAUCACAGUACGGCAUCGUACAAUGAUCAAACAUUUAUGGGAUGGAGAUGGGCAUGCGUGUCAUUAGUUAGUUGGCGGGGUAACGGCCCACCAAGACCGCGAUGACUAGGGGAUCUGAGAGGAUGACCCCCCACACGGGUACUGAGACACGGCCCAGACUCCUACGGGAGGCAGCAGUAAGGAAUAUUGGUCAAUGAGCGCAAGCCUGAACCAGCCAUGCCGCGUGCAGGAAGACGGCCCUCUGGGUUGUAAACUGCUUUUAUUCGGGAAUAAACCUGCUUACGUGUAAGUAGCUGAAUGUACCGAAGGAAUAAGGAUCGGCUAACUCCGUGCCAGCAGCCGCCGUAACAC